rnacentral:lncRNA from 1 species
CCUGUAUUAACGUUUUUUAUGUACAUCGCCAGCAUUUUUCUAUACAUAUUUUGAGUUGUAUAUCUUUGUAUACAUUUUUCGUAUAUGUUAUAAACUUUUUUCUAUGCGCAUUUGACAUUUUUUGAAAUGUUUUAUGUAAGUAUUUUUGUAAUAUAGAAUAUCUAGGAAUAUCAAUAAAGUAAAAUAAAAAAUUCUAAAAAUAAAAAUAAGAAUAUGUCCUCUGGCCUGUGGCCUGUGGUUAGCGACGCGAUGGGCCGGACAAAUAUAGGGAUCGCCUUCAGCGACACUUGCUCUCGUCUCGCUGUAAGCGAGACAUAUCAGCGCCUACAGAGCAAUUUAUAUCAUUUGCGCCCCCACUAACUUGGCUUGACCAUAUACGUCUAUGUUGUUGGCUUCUUUUUAUUUUGUUGGCCACUAUCAAGUCGUGAAGAUCACCCGUUGCAACAAUGAAAAGUCAUGUAUAUAUUUCUUGUGGGUGUGAGAAUGAUCAAUUGACGUGUGUGCUCGGACCAUACACCAUAGCUUUUAGAAUAGAUGUAUCUUUAUGAUCAAUGGAUUCAUGACCUAAAACUAAGUGGUUGUUGUGUUUUUGAAUAUAAGAUGUUUUGUUAGUUUAAUUUAGUACUUAGCUUGAGUGUAUCUGACCCAUGGGUGUGAUUAGAUAGAGCAACAUAAGCAGCGACGGAGCCAGGAAACUCGAACGAGAGGGGACGUGUGUUGUUAAUCUUUGUUAGGGAGGGGGACAUCCCAUUAGAACACACCAAUUUAACGGCAAAUAAUCACAUAUUCACAUGCAAAAUAUGUUUAACUCAAUGGUAUUCCCCCUCCCCUGACGCGGGUGUUGUUCUAACCAAUUUAACAACCAUCGACCAUGCCAAUGUUGAUCAACCAAAGCUAGCUAACUAAGCGUGUAGCCCUUCGUCGGUAACGCUCAGUGAGAUGUCAGAUCACCAUACGAAAUUGUCAGUAAAAGGGUAUGUCGUGUCUAACUAACAUUGCCGUCUACCCUCUCAAAAAAAAAAAAAAAACAUCGCGUCUACAAAUAUAUGGUAUUACCUAUCAAAAGAAAUAUAGAUGUUUACACGGUAUAGCUAUGUACCGUACAUCAUACGACGUAUAACAUGGCCUCUCUUUUGACAAAAUGGCAUAAAAAUAGAGUAUAGUUAGGAAAAUUUGUGUAAAAACCCAGUAAACUCCAUGUGUAGUAUU